CUCAGAGGCCUGACAGUAUGCAGCAUGCAGCUGCAGCCCUUUGAGGAUUACCUUAUAUACCUACUCACCUCUUGGGAAAACACAGGUGUUAAAAGAAAUGGAUUUAACACAAUUCCUGGCCACCUCCUCCCCCUCCUGCCUAGACCAGAAACAGUUCCUACACUUCUGGUACUCAUCAAAAUAUGAAGAUUGGAAGAGUCUUCAUCCAAAUUGGAAAAAUGAUAAAAGGAUGCUUUCUACAAAACAUUACCAAAAGAAAGAAAAAACAGCCAACUGUGCAAUACUAAAGAUAUUACUCUGCCCUGGAGUCUAUUGGCCCUGACAUUCCUCAGAAAAGCAUAAGGAUCUCUUGGAUAAAACUAGAAGGAGGGAUACCUGUGUAAGAUUUUGAUUAUGUUUCAGAAAAUACAUCAUGUUGAACUAGCUGUGAAUAAUUAAAGCUUCUAAGGUGGAGGUAUGGUAUGAGUUGUUCUCUGUUUGGUAAAGCACCUAAUGAAUUAUAUUUAUCCUCUCAUCAUGCACAAAAGCAGCUCUUGUCAAGGCCAGUGAUAAUUUUCCACUGAAAAAAAUGGUGGAUGGAUUUUUGGAGUUAUCCUAUUUAUUAGUAAAUUUUAAGUGGUUGCUUGCACUGUAGGUUUUUCUCUAUUAUGGUAAAGCUUCAGUGAAAGUCUUAUUCAUAAAACUCCCUUGUAUCAGUAGCACUUAGAAAAGUGUAGAGUGGUUCACACCCUGUAAUCCCAGCUACUUGGGAGGCUGAGGCGGGAGGACCACUUGAGUCCAGACUGAGGCUGCAGUGAGCCAUGGUCACACCACUGCACUCCAGCAUAGGCAACAGAGUGAGACCAUAUUUCAAAAGAAAAAAAAGAAGAAAAUAAAUAAAAAGCAUGGUACUAGUACAAGAACAGACUCAUAGACUAAUGGAACAGAAUAGAGAGCCCAGAAAUAAGACCACACACCUACAGCUAUCUGAUCUUUGACAAACCUGACAAAAACAAGCAAUGGGGAAAGGAUACCCCAUUCAGUAAAUUGUUCUGGGAUAACUUGCUAGCAAUAUGCAGAAAAUUGAAACUGUACCCCGUCUUUACACCGUAUACAACAACCAACUCAAGAUGGAUUAAAGACUUAAAUGUAUAACCCCAAACUAUAAAAACCUUAGAAGACAACCAAGGCAAUAUCAUUCAGGACAUAGGCAUGGGCAAAGAUUUUACAACAAAGACACCAAAAGCAAUUGCAACCAAAACAAAAAUUGACAAAUGAGAUCUAAUUAAACUAAACGGCUUCUGCCCAGGAAAAGAAACUAUCAACAGAGUAAACAGACAACCUGCAGAAUGGGAAAACAUUUUUUCAAACUAUGCAUCUGACAAAGGUCUAGUAUCCAGCGUCUAUAAGGAAUUUAAAGAAAUAUACAAGAAAAAAAGCAAACAACCCCAUUAAAAAGUGGGCAAAGGACAUGACAGAUGCUUUUCAAAAGGAGACAUACAUGGGGCCAAAAAGCAUAUAAAAAUCUCAACAUUACUAAUCAUUAGAAAAAUGUAAAUGAAAACCACAGUGAGAUACCAUCUCACAGCGGUCAGAAUGGCUAUUACUAAAAAGUUAAAAAGUAACAGACGCUGGCGAGGUUAUGGAGAAAAAGGAAUGCUUUUACAUUGUUUCUCGGAGUGUAAAUUAGUUCAACCAUUGUGGAAGACAGUGUGGCAAUUCAUCAAAGACCUAAAGUCAGAAAUACCAUUUGACCCAGCAAUCCCAUUACGGGGUAUGUACCCAAAGGUUCUAUUAUAAAGACACAUGCAUGCAUAUGUUCACUGAAGCACUACUCACAAUGGCAAAAACAUGGAAUCAAUCCAAAUGUCCAUCAAUAAUAGACUGGUUAAAGAAAAUCUGGUAUGUAUGCACUAUGGAAUACUAUGGGGCCAUAAAAAAUAAUGAGAUCAUGUCUUUUGUGGGGAUGUGAAUGGACUGGAGGCCAUUAUCCUUAGCAAAGUAACUUUGGAGCAGAAAACCAAAUACUGCAUGUUCUCACUUAUACAUGGGAGCUAAAUGUGAGAACACAUGCACAGUUAGAGGGGAACAACACAUACUGGGGCCUACUGGAGGGUGGAUCAUGGGAGGAGGAAAAGAAUCGGGAAAAAUAGCCAAUGGAUACUACGCUUAAUACCUGGGUGAUGAAAUAAUUUGUACAACAAACGACCAUGACACAUGUUUACCUGUGUAACAAACUUGCACAUCCUGCACAUGUACCCCUGAAUUUAAAAUAAAAGUUAAAAAAAGAAAGAAGACUGAAAAGACUUUUUUUAUGAUAUU
rnacentral:lncRNA from 1 species